rnacentral:rRNA from 1 species
UAAAAAGCUCGUAGUUGGAUCUGUGUCUCGGACGGCCGGUGCGCCGCUCGCGGCGUACACUGACUGAUCCGAACGUCCUGCCGGUGGCCCCGUUUCGGCGGGGCCUGACUCCCUCCGCGCUGCUCUUAACCGGGCGGUUCGGUGGGCCGGCAAGUUUACUUUGAACAAAUUUGAGUGCUCAAAGCAGGCGACAAGUCGCCUGAAAACUGUGUGCAUGGAAUAAUGGAAUAGGACUUCGGUUCUAUUUUGUUGGCUUUUCUGAACCCGAAGUAAUGAUUAAUAGGGACAGACGGGGGCAUUCGUAUUGCGACGUUAGAGGUGAAAUUCUUGGAUCGUCGCAAGACGGACCGAUGCGAAAGCGUUUGCCAAGAAUGUUUUCGCUAAUCAAGAACGAAAGUUAGAGGUUCGAAGGCGAUCAGAUACCGCCCUAGUUCUAACCAUAAACGAUGCCAGCCAGCGAUGCGCCCGAGUUCCUCCGAUGACUGGGCGCGCAGCUUCCGGGAAACCAAAGCUUUUGGGUUCCGGGG